rnacentral:miRNA from 1 species
CCAAUAUUAAUUGUGCUGCUGGA